rnacentral:tRNA from 2 species
GCGCCGGUAGCUCAGUUGGCUAGAGCACACCCCUGAUAAGGGUGAGGUCGAAGGUUCGAUUCCUUUCCGGCGCA